GAAGGCCUUUAUGAUGAUCCACUUCCACUUAAUGAAUAUGAAAAUCAAGAGGCUGGGCCUUGAAGCAUCUCAGCAAGCAUGACGUCCUCUACACCAUACCCUCUGGCCUGGGGUUCAGCAGUCUUCACCAUUCCCAUUCCCUGAACCCCUCAAAAUCAGGAAUACAGGUUACAGUGAAGACGGCUGUCUGUGAACCAGGGAGUGCACCCUCAGCAGACACCCAAUCUGCUGGCACCAUGCUCUUGGACUCCCCAGACUGCAGAACUGUAAGAAGCACAUUUUUGAUGUUGAGAAGCCACCUAGUCUAUGGUGUUCUGUUAAAGCAGCCCAAGCCCACCAAGACAGCAGCAGGAACAUUUCAACAUGAGCUGUCUAAACACACCUUCCUGCCUCAGAUGAAAACUUCAUCUAGGUUUUCCUGUUAUUGUAACCAUCACUCCUUGUUUUUAAAUGAAGAAAUAAAAAUUAUGUGAGAAACUGAAAUCUAUGUGAAGCAUUCUAGACUCAGCCAUGGGAAAUUAGGAAGCUCAGGAUCCCAGAGGCUCCAAAUCAUACUUCUUAUCAGCCAAAAGCCCCGCUCCUCCUGAACCCACCCACCCACCUAAAAACAAGCCA
rnacentral:lncRNA from 1 species